rnacentral:rRNA from 1 species
UACAGAGGGUGCGAGCGUUGUCCGGAAUUACUGGGCGUAAAGCGUGCGUAGGUGGUUUGUUAAGUCUGUUGUGAAAGCCCCGGGCUCAACCUGGGAAUGGCAAUGGAUACUGGCAGGCUAGAGUGCGGUAGAGGGUAGUGGAAUUCCCGGUGUAGCGGUGAAAUGCGUAGAGAUCGGGAGGAACACCAGUGGCGAAGGCGGCUACCUGGACCAGCACUGACACUGAGGCACGAAAGCGUGGGGAGCAAACAGG